rnacentral:tRNA from 1 species
GCGAGAGUAGUCUAGUGGUUAUGAUGUCUGCUUUACAUUUACCCAAAUGGAAGCGCAGAAGGUCGGGAGUUCGAUCCUCCCCUCUCGUA